rfam:Schistosoma margrebowiei strain Zambia genome assembly, scaffold: SMRZ_contig0005212
GUGAAGGCCCUCUUUAGGGCCACUCACAAUUUAAUUUCAAUUAUAU